GAUUAUGGCUCAGGAUGAACGCUGGCGGCGUGCUUAACACAUGCAAGUCGAACGAAGCAUUCCUAACCCUUCGGGGGAGGGAAUGACUGAGUGGCGGACGGGUGAGUAACGCGUGGGUAACCUGCCUUAUACAGGGGGAUAACAGUUAGAAAUGACUGCUAAUACCGCAUAACCCGCUAGUACCGCAUGGUACAGACGGAAAAGAUUUAUCGGUAUAAGAUGGACCCGCGUCUGAUUAGCUAGUUGGUGAGGUAACGGCCCACCAAGGCGACGAUCAGUAGCCGGCUUGAGAGAGUGAACGGCCACAUUGGGACUGAGACACGGCCCAAACUCCUACGGGAGGCAGCAGUGGGGAAUAUUGCACAAUGGGGGAAACCCUGAUGCAGCAACGCCGCGUGAAGGAAGAAGUAUUUCGGUAUGUAAACUUCUAUCAGCAGGAAAGAAAAUGACGGUACCUGACUAAGAAGCCCCGGCUAACUACGUGCCAGCAGCGGC
rnacentral:rRNA from 1 species